AGUUUAGACUUGCUGGGGCUCUCAGUGACCGAGAUAUGGACCAAUUGAGAGACAGUGCGCCAAUCAUGGAGACACAUUAGACAUUAAGAGACAGGUGAGGAAGGUGAGGAAGGUUAGAAGACGGUAAACACACACAGAGACUGCUGCAUA
ensembl:ncRNA C04D8.3 ncRNA